AAUUUUACUAAUUUCAUCUGCACGAAUGGUUACCAUGAAAAUUUCUUAAUUUUAUUUUUUUAGAAGAAAAAAAUAAUGCCUAUACUCUAUUUUAUAAUAGAAAGACUAAUCAGUUAUUUUUUCUUUCAUCGUCCCAAACAUGCCAAUAUUAGCACUGACAGUACGUAAAUGUAACUCGUUGUUCAAGCAACUCUUUAGAGUUCCUAGAGCUCCCUGUAAGGCUUGUUGUAAAAUCCGUUGUCGGACUUGAAAGAUGUUGGAUCAGUUUCGUGUAAAAAUGAAUGUUGUGUUUUUUCCAUGGCGGUUCUCACUCUCAUUGUCAGUGUCAUCUCACUGUCGCUCUCACUUUCUCACUCUCCAUGGCGGUUCAACUCCUCACUCUCACUCUACUCGUUGUCACUGUGGUCUCGGUCUCACUGUCGGUAUUGCGACGAUAGCGCUGUUGGGAUUCAAGGCCUCACAGAUCCAUCGCGUUGGUUCCUGCCAGGAUUCGAGGCUGCGACGUCGUCAUCGUUUCCAGAGCUGGACUACGGGAUCCGACAGCUAGACCACGCCAUUCUCUUUCUCCAUCUCCCAUUCUCACCGAUCCGCUGCAAACAACCUCUUCGCUCCCACUCCCACAAGCCUAGAAGACGUAUACGCAAUUCUUAGAGUUUUUCAGAUUCUCGGAAUCGAAGAGAAGAAUAAUCCUGUGAGCGAGGACACUUGUCAGAAAGUGGUUGAAAAUCUAGCCUCGUCUUCUCCUCUCAAGGAUUUGUUCUAUACCUUGUUAAGGCCAUUUUAAAAUGCAAUGUCAAUGGAAACGUUUUCAAGGAUAUUGCUUUGCUUGAUGGUGGAGACUAGGGUGGCAUGUCUAAGUGAUUGGAAAAUAAAUAUUGAGCAUAGGAUAUGCACUCUUUGAACAUGUUUAAAAAAAAAAAUAAAAAAUUAAAAUGCAUUGUGGUCGUACUCAAACAGCCGACCUCCAUUUGCCGCCGCCCGAGACGAUUUCUGGCACUUGUGUAUAGGUUCGAGCUUAGGGAUUUUAGGCCAUGGGGGAAGGUUUUCCGAUGACAAAAACCAAGCUGCAAGGGAAGGUCACGCUUGACCAUGAGUGGUGCCGACGAUGCCGGCAAAACAACAGAGAAGAUGAAAGGAAGGAGGACAAUGCAUUUUAAUUUUUUAUUAAUUUAUUUCUGUGUAAACAUGUCUACGGUAGUCUCUAAUUAUCUUACUCGUUAAUUUUAAAGAAUACAUAUCCUACGCUCAAUAUUUGUUUUCCAAUCACUUACACAUGGUGGAAAAGAUGUUUUACUUUCCCACCCUAGUCUCCACCUUGAUUGAUAUAUACUAUUCAAUUGAAGGUUUGGUUCUUAUAAAGGAAAUGCCAACUCUUGUUGCAGAUGGUAAUGAUGCACUCACUGGUCACAUAAUCUCAACCACAAUUUCAGGCAAAAAUGGCGAACCUAAACAAACCAUCAGUUACAUGGCCGAACGUGUUGUUGGCUCUGGAUCAUUCGGAAUUGUUUUCCAGGCGAAGUGCUUGGAGAUUGGCGAGGCCGUGACUAUAAAGAAGGCUUGCAGGACAGGCAAUACUAAAAUCAUGAACUGCAGUUUAUGCACGUGAUGGAUCACCCAAAUAUAAUUUCCCUGAGUAACUAUUUCUUCUCUACAACAAGUAGAGAUGAACUUUUUUCUGAACUUGGUGAUGGAAUAUGUCCCUGAGACGAUCUUCCGUGUUAUAAAGCACUACAGUAGCAUGAAACAGAGAAUUCCCCUAAUCUAUGUGAAAUUAUAUACAUAUCAAAUCUUUAGGGGACUGGCGUAUAUCCAUACUGCACCAGGAAUCUACCAUAGACAUGUGAAGCCUCAAAAUCUUUUGAUUGAUCGACUCAUACACCAAGUCAAGCUCUGCGAUUUUGGGAGUGCAAAAGUUCUGAUAUUUUGAAGAUUGUAGAGAUUGGUGUGAAGAUACGUGAGUCAGUGGUCAAUUUUACUUAUGUAUAUGUUUGGAUUAGGGUAGAAUUAUGUAUUGCUCUAACUAGGUUAUUUGAUGUAUAGGUUGGGAGUAGCUAGUACAUAAUUUCUCUGUAUUUGUUAAACUUUGUCUUCAUUCUAAUAUCAUGAACUAAUGUUUAAUUAAAAGAGGAUUACGAUUCUUUGUAUGAUACUUUAUGCUUUUACAUCA